rnacentral:lncRNA from 1 species
AUGAAGCUGCAGAGGAAUUGACUCGUGGCUAUGUAGAGUUGAGGAGGAGAGGAAAUUUUCCAGGCAGCAGCAAGAAGGUAGAAUGACACAGCAUCUUCCUACAUAUCUCUUCCUGUGAUACUUAUAUUGCAAUAGUAUUAAAACAAUUUUACUGCCUUGUACAUAGGUCACAGAUACCAGUUUUUUAUAGUACUAGAUUUUUCUUCAAUGGUAACAAAUGGCAGUUAAUAGAUAUAAGUUAAUUGUUCCCUCCACAUAGAAAAAAAAAAAUCCUCUCUUUUAUCGUGCUUAUCUUAUUUGGGAUGCCUAUAUAUCAUAUUCAUUUGUGUAAUAACUGUAACAGGUGAUAACUGCAACACCUAGGCAAAUUGAGAGUUUGAUACGUCUUAGUGAAGCUCUAGCUCGGAUUCGGUUUUCAGAAACGGUUAGCAAAGUUUGCAUUCUACCUUGAUGUUUUACACUAAGAUAAACUAAACUAAACCAUGCCCUAAUAUAUGCAGGUUGAGAAGCAUGAUGUAAUGGAGGCAUUUCGGCUUCUAGAAGUUGCAAUGCAACAAUCAGCAACAGAUCACUCCACGGGUACAAGUUUACUGCAGUUGUACAUGUUUUUUCUAUUUCUACCUCCCAUGAAGAGAAACAGUUUAAUGUCAUGAUUUUUUUACUCUAGGAACAAUUGACAUGGAUCUUAUUAAUACUGGAAUUUCGGCAAGUGAAAGAAUGAGACGGGAAAAUCUAGUGUCAUCAGCCCGCAACAUAAUUAUGGAGAAGAUGCAACUUGGGGGACCCUCAAUGCGUUUGUUAGAGGUAUGAUUUCUGAUAAGAUGUGUAUAGAAUCAAAAUCCAAAUGUCUAAAAGACCUAAAACUGACAUCUCAUUGUUCUUAAUUGAUUUUCUGUAGCUGCUGGAGGAGCUGAAGAAGCAGAGUUCUAGCAGCGAAAUUCACCUCAACGAUGUUAGUACAUUCGUCUCUCACCCUCUCUCUAUCGCAUACGCAAUAGUCUCACACUAAUGUGCUUUUAUUGGUAUUUCAGCUUAGGAAUGCACUGGCUACACUUGCAAGUGAGGGAUUUGUGGCUGUUCAGGGCGACAGUGUCAAAAGAGUGUGAUAGGAGGACCAAGAAACGUAUUGGUUGACAUUUGACAUUGCUUUUUAAUUUGUAACAAGAGGCUACUCAAGAUUUUAGUCGAAUGUUCAGUGCUUUUGCUGGUUGAUCAAAUGUAUGUAAAAUUAUUUUCAUGUAGUUGGCAUUAAGGAGUGGAAUGCCAUCAAGUAGCAAGUCGUUAAAGGUAUUGAAGUCUAAAAAUUUGGAAUUUGCAGAAAGUAUUGAUCUUAAUCUGUAAGAGUGCUGAAGUGCUUGGAUCCUCUAUUUCUCAUAUCAGUUUAAAGCAACUAGGUUUCUCAUUUCAGCAACUCAGGGUUCACCUUGUGGCCGGAUCUCAUACUUGUGCAGCCUUAAUUUUCUUCAAGUGCUGCGAGAAAGAAAGAAGUACUAUGCUGGAAGAGAAUACAGAAACUCAAAUUGAAGGCUGGGCACCAUCUUGAAAUAAGCGUAGUCCUCAAAAUUUUAGCCAACCUCGUUAUAACUCUUCACUUUAUAUUUCUCAUUGGACCCGAGUGCAGUAUUUGGCCACCUUUACAACAAUCAAAUUCAUCUCAUAGCAGUCAUGUUGUUUAGAUCUGCACAACAUGAUCCAAAUACUUACGGGUUCAUUUGAUCUGCUUAAUAAUCGUAUAUGCAACAGCUCACUGUUGGCAAGUAAUCCGUCUCGGCAAAACGAUUUUUUUUUUUUGUAUUAGGAGUAAGAUUCUCAUUUACGGACCCCUUGUUGGCCUUUAUGCUAAUUAGGUUUAUGAUACUUUUAUUUAUAACUAGAAUUAUGACCCGCGUUUUGUUGCGGGAUUUGUAAGAUUUGUGUUCAUAAUUUUUCUUCUUUUCUUCUCAUUUAUAAUGUAUCAAAAUGCAAGAUCUAUAUAGAUUGAAUUUGAAAUACUUAACAACAAAACACUUAUUAUUGUAGUAAGAGUAUAUCUUACUAUCAUAUGCAGAGGGAGAGAAUUCGUCUUGUGUUCGUUCGUCGUCCUCUUCUCCUUUCUCCUCCUUUGUCUCUCUCUCUCUCUCCUCGAUCAUGGUCGAAAUUUAUGGAAACCCAAAACAACGCAGGAGACUGUUAAUCAAAACCAAGCAGAUCAGUGAGAUCACCCAGAGAAAGCAAAUUCAACAAACUGUAACCAUUCGCUAGGCUUUGCUCUAUCGCCGCAGCAAAUCCCUAAUCCCUCUGUAUUUGAUCAAGGAAGAGAAGUGAUAUUUCUUCUUUUUCGGAGGUCGAUCUCUCUAUUCCUAUGUAUAGAUCUCUCUCUCUCUUCCCAAUUUCUUAUGUUCUUUCUCCUCGAUUCUUUCUUUCACUUUUUUAUCGGAGACAGAACAGAGCAAAUUUCAGAUGGUCCUUUCUAGAUAGUGUGCGAACUGCGAAACCCAAUC